GACGUAGGUGGCGAGCGUUGUUCGGAAUCACUGGGCAUAAAGCGCACGUAGGCGGUCUGUCGCGUCGGAUGUGAAAGUCCAGGGCUCAACCCUGGGAUGCGGAUGGAUACUGCCGGGCUCGAGUCCGGAAGAGGCGAGUGGAAUUCCCGGUGUAGCGGUGAAAUGCGCAGAUAUCGGGAGGAACACCAAUGGCGAAGGCAGCUCGCUGGGACGUGACUGACGCUGAGACGCGAAAGCGUGGGGAGCAAACAGG
rnacentral:rRNA from 1 species